CCACGUAACGUCCCCAGGCAUAAAAGAUGGAGGCCGCAGAGCUCUCUGUCUUCCCUUCUGCUUUGGCUCUCCCUCGGACUCCUCCAAUAAAGAUCUCUUGACUGCAACCAGUGUGGCGUGGUCUUAGUCUGAGCCUACAGAGCCACUCUUUCAUUGGUGCCGUGACUCGGAUUGGGACUCCCUGCCUUUGGUGGGACCCCAAUCCCUCUCAGGCUCAGACCAGGCCCCGGUCAGUCUUCGCCCAUUUUCCUGUUCGCUGAGCUCUUCGCCCACCACCGGCCUCAUCUCGGCCACCUCUUUUCCCAUAAGUUAUUCACCACACCUGAGUUAAACUUUGGACAUCCCCUGAGGAACCUGCAGGAUCAUCAGCUUAGGAAUCCCAAGACACCUGCGAACCAUUGGAGGACUUGCACCUCCUAUUUCGGAAAGAAACAUCCCAGACUAAAAAGGCUCCUACCACUGAUCCUGAGGGACGACCGCUUCCUCCUUAAAAAAGAUAAGUGAAAGAACUCAUACUAGAUAAAAUGAUCUUAUUUUCCAGAGCACCCUCUUUACCUUCCUAUUUGCUCUUUGCCUAGGUAUCCCUCCUACUUCCUUGGAUACCUCAUACAAACACCCCUCCCCUUUCACUAGCUCCUAAUUACCUCUACAAGACUCUCAACUUAACUCACACUCUGUUAAACCAGUCCAAUCCUUCCCUGGCAAAUGACUGUUGGCUGUGUAUCUCUCUAUCAACCUCU